UCCUACGGGAGGCAGCAGUGGGGAAUAUUGGACAAUGGGGGCAACCCUGAUCCAGCCAUGCCGCGUGAGUGAAGAAGGCCUUCGGGUUGUAAAGCUCUUUCAGAUGCGAAGAUGAUGACGGUAACAUCAGAAGAAGCCCCGGCUAAUUUCGUGCCAGCAGCCGCGGUAAUACGAAAGGGGCAAGCGUUGUUCGGAUUUACUGGGCGUAAAGGGCACGCAGGCGGUCUUGCCAGUCAGGGGUGAAAGCCCGGGGCUCAACCCCGGAACUGCCUCUGAUACUGCAAGACUAGAGACUAGGAGAGGGUGGUGGAAUUCCCAGUGUAGAGGUGAAAUUCGUAGAUAUUGGGAGGAACACCAGAGGCGAAGGCGGCCACCUGGACUAGAUCUGACGCUCAGGUGCGAAAGCGUGGGGAGCAAACAGGAUUAGAUACCCUGGUAGUCCACGCCGUAAACGAUGAGUGCUAGUUGUCGGGACUUCGGUUUCGGUGACGCAGCUAACGCAUUAAGCAU
rnacentral:rRNA from 1 species